AUGCGAGUCUUUGUAGUAAUACAAGGCAGANGGCUCAGUAACACGUAGUNNNNNNNNCCUAUGGACGAGGAUAACCUCGGGAAACUGAGANNNNNNCUCGAUAGAUCAUUAUGCCUGGAAUGGUUUAUGGUCGAAAUGAUUUAUCGCCGUAGGAUGGGACUGCGNUCUAUCAGCUUGUUGGUGAGGUAAUGGCCCACCAAGGCUAUAACAGAUACGGGCUCUGAGAGGAGAAGCCCGGAGAUGGGUACUGAGACACGGACCCAGGCCCUAUGGGGCGCAGCAGGCGAGAAAACUUUGCAAUGUGCGAAAGCACGACAAGGUUAAUCCGAGUGUUUUCUGCUAAAGAAAUCUUUUGUCAGUCCUAAAAACACUGAUGAAUAAGGGGUGGGCAAGUUCUGGUGUCAGCCGCCGCGGUAAAACCAGCACCUCAAGUGGUCAGGAGGAUUAUUGNGCCUAAAGCAUCCGUAGCCGGCUCUGUAAGUUUUCGGUUAAAUCUAUACGCUCAACGUAUAGGCUGCCGGGAAUACUGCAAAGCUAGGGAGUGGGANAGGUAGACGGUACUCGNUAGGAAGGGGUAAA
rnacentral:rRNA from 1 species